rnacentral:rRNA from 1 species
UCCUACGGGAGGCAGCAGUGGGGAAUAUUGCACAAUGGGGGAAACCCUGAUGCAGCCAUGCCGCGUGUGCUAAGAAGGCCUUCGGGUUGUAAAGCACUUUAAGCAGUGAGGAAGGGGAGCUCUUUAAUCGCGGUAUUCAUUGAC